UCCGAUAUGGUGUAGUGGCCAACAUGAUGCCCUCUCAUCACAGUGAGAGGUUAGGCAUAGCCCCGAUUUCGAUUCUCGGUUUCGGAA
rnacentral:tRNA from 1 species